CAGGCUUAACACAUGCAAGUCGAGGGGCAUCAGGAAGAAAGCUUGCUUUCUUUGCUGGCGACCGGCGCACGGGUGAGUAACACGUAUCCAACCUGCCCUUUACUCGGGGAUAGCCUUUCGAAAGAAAGAUUAAUACCCGAUGGCAUAAUGAUUCCGCAUGGUUUCAUUAUUAAAGGAUUCCGGUAAAGGAUGGGGAUGCGUUCCAUUAGGUUGUUGGUGAGGUAACGGCUCACCAAGCCUUCGAUGGAUAGGGGUUCUGAGAGGAAGGUCCCCCACAUUGGAACUGAGACACGGUCCAAACUCCUACGGGAGGCAGCAGUGAGGAAUAUUGGUCAAUGGGCGCUAGCCUGAACCAGCCAAGUAGCGUGAAGGAUGAAGGCUCUAUGGGUCGUAAACUUCUUUUAUAUAAGAAUAAAGUGCAGUAUGUAUACUGUUUUGUAUGUAUUAUAUGAAUAAGGAUCGGCUAACUCCGUGCCAGCAGCCGCGGUAAUACGGAGGAUCCGAGCGUUAUCCGGAUUUAUUGGGUUUAAAGGGAGCGUAGGUGGACUGGUAAGUCAGUUGUGAAAGUUUGCGGCUCAACCGUAAAAUUGCAGUUGAUACUGUCAGUCUUGAGUACAGUAGAGGUGGGCGGAAUUCGUGGUGUAGCGGUGAAAUGCUUAGAUAUCACGAAGAACUCCGAUUGCGAAGGCAGCUCACUGGACUGCAACUGACACUGAUGCUCGAAAGUGUGGGUAUCAAACAGGAUUAGAUACCCUGGUAGUCCACACAGUAAACGAUGAAUACUCGCUGUUUGCGAUAUACAGUAAGCGGCCAAGCGAAAGCAUUAAGUAUUCCACCUGGGGAGUACGCCGGCAACGGUGAAACUCAAAGGAAUUGACGGGGGCCCGCACAAGCGGAGGAACAUGUGGUUUAAUUCGAUGAUACGCGAGGAACCUUACCCGGGCUUAAAUUGCAGUGGAAUGAUGUGGAAACAUGUCAGUGAGCAAUCACCGCUGUGAAGGUGCUGCAUGGUUGUCGUCAGCUCGUGCCGUGAGGUGUCGGCUUAAGUGCCAUAACGAGCGCAACCCUUAUCUUUAGUUACUAACAGGUUAUGCUGAGGACUCUAGAGAGACUGCCGUCGUAAGAUGUGAGGAAGGUGGGGAUGACGUCAAAUCAGCACGGCCCUUACGUCCGGGGCUACACACGUGUUACAAUGGGGGGUACAGAAGGCAGCUAGCGGGUGACCGUAUGCUAAUCCCAAAAGCCUCUCUCAGUUCGGAUCGAAGUCUGCAACCCGACUUCGUGAAGCCGGAUUCGCUAGUAAUCGCGCAUCAGCCACGGCGCGGUGAAUACGUUCCCGGGCCUUGUACACACCGCCCGUCAAGCCAUGGGAGCCGGGGGUACCUGAAGUACGUAACCGCAAGGAUCGUCCUAGGGUAAAACUGGUGACUGGGGCUAAG
rnacentral:rRNA from 1 species